AUUGAACGCUGGCGGCAGGCUUAACACAAGCAAGUCGAACGAUUGGCGGACUGGUGAGUCAUGCUUGGGAAUCUAGCUUAUGGUGGGGGAUACCUACUGUAAACUGUAGCUAAUACCGCGUCCCAUCGGAUGCGCCCAAGUGGGAUUAGGUAGUUGGUGAGGUAAAGGCUCACCAAGCCGACGAUCUCUAGCUGGUCUGAGAGGAUGACCAGCCACACUGGGACUGAGAGACGGCCCAGACUCCUACGGGAGGAAGCAGUGGGGAAUAUUGCGCAAGGGGGGCAAACUGACGCAGUAAUGCCGCGGGAAUGAAGAAGGCGUUCGGGUUGUAAAGUUCUUUCGGUAGCGAGGCGUUAACUACAGAAGAAGCACCGGCUAACGCCGGGCCAGCAGCCGCGGUAAUUC
rnacentral:rRNA from 1 species